rnacentral:rRNA from 1 species
AUGGCCAUGGCUGCGCCCCACGUCUCGCACUCGCAGCCACCCGUCGGGCGCGCCGCUUUAUUCGCUCACCCCACCACCGCGCAGAGCUCCUCCCCUCUCCGCCUCCCCCUCCACCGCGCCGCCGUCCGGCCCGUCCGCCUCUACGCUGUCUCCACCGAUGCCGCCCCUGCCCCUGCCACCGCCGCCGCUGCGAUGGACGCCGUGGCCGACUGGGGGCUCACCCCGCUCGCGGAGGCCGACCCGGAGGUGUACGACCUCAUCGAGCGCGAGAAGCGGCGCCAGCGCACGGGCAUCGAGCUAAUCGCGUCCGAGAACUUCACCUCGCUCGCCGUCAUGGAGGCGCUCGGUUCCCCGCUCACCAACAAGUACUCCGAGGGCAUGCCCGGGGCGCGCUACUACGGCGGGAACGAGGUCAUCGACGAGGUCGAGGAGCUCUGCCGCGCCCGCGCCCUCAAGGCGUUCCACCUCGACCCCGCCUCCUGGGGCGUCAACGUGCAGCCCUACUCCGGUUCCCCCGCCAACUUCGCCGCCUACACUGGGCUGCUCCAACCCCACGAGCGCAUCAUGGGGCUCGAUCUGCCGUCCGGAGGACACCUCACUCAUGGGUACUACACGGCCGGGGGCAAGAAGAUUUCUGCCACCUCCAUUUACUUUUCGAGCUUGCCCUACAAGGUGAGCUCCGACACCGGGUACGUCGACUAUGAUAGGCUGGAGGAGAAGGCCAUGGAUUUCCGCCCCAAGCUCAUUAUCUGUGGCGGGAGCGCGUACCCACGGGACUGGGAUUAUGCCAGGCUUAGGGCCAUCGCGGACAAGUGCGGGGCCAUGUUGCUGUGUGACAUGGCUCAUAUUAGCGGUCUCGUUGCCGCUCAGGAGGCUACGAAUCCGUUUGAGUAUUCUGAUGUGGUUACCACCACCACCCACAAGAGUCUCCGAGGGCCAAGGUCUGGUAUGAUAUUCUACAGGAAGGGCCCGAAGCCUCCCAAAAAAGGCCAGCCCGAGGGUGCUCUUUACGAUUACGAGGACAAAAUCAACUUUGCAGUGUUUCCAUCACUCCAGGGUGGCCCUCACAACCACCAGAUUGCUGCCCUGGCAGUUGGCCUGAAGCAGGCAAUGUCACCUGGAUUCAAGGCAUAUAUUCAGCAGGUCAAGGCCAAUGCUGUUGCCCUUGGAAACCAUCUGAUGAGUAAGGGCUACAAGAUGGUUACUGAUGGAACAGAGAACCACCUUGUUCUCUGGGAUCUUCGCCCUCUUGGCUUGUCUGGUAACAAAGUUGAGAAAGUAUGUGAUCUGAGCAGCAUUACACUCAACAAAAAUGCCGUCUUUGGCGACAGCAGUGCACUGGCACCUGGUGGUGUGCGAAUUGGUACACCUGCCAUGACCUCGAGAGGUUUGGUCGAGAAGGACUUUGUGAAGAUUGCUGAGUACCUUCAUCAGGCUGUGGUCAUCUGCUUGAAUGUCCAGAAGCAGCGAGGUAAGCGUUACAAUGAUUUCAUCGUUGACUUGGAGAAGAACAAGGACAUCGCGGAGCUCAGGGCAGAGGUCGAGAAGUUUGCCAUUGCAUUUGAGAUGCCUGGAUUCCUGGUGUCAGACAUGAAAUACAAGGAUUAG